rnacentral:ncRNA from 1 species
CUUGCUUAAUUAUUUGUUUUGAUUUAGUUUUAUAUGCAAAUUGUUGUUAAUAUUACUAUUCUUAAUGGGUAGUGGUUGGUUACGGCAGUAAAGAGUAUUAUUGAUUAAGAAAAUUUUGAUUUAGUUAAUUUCAUUAAGUAUUGAUUGAAUAUGUGCCAGCAGUCGCGGUUAUACAUAUUAUGUAAGUGAAUAUGUUUGGUUAAUUAGUUAGAUGGAAUAAGGUAUCUAUUUUGAUAAUUUUUAGGUGGAAUUAAAAAUUUUUAUUAAGAUUUCUUUUGAAUUGAUUGAGGCUAUGAAAUUUAUUCAAUAAACUAGGAUUAGAUACCCUAUUAUUUUAAAUGUAAAUUUGUGACCUGAGUAGUAAUUGUUAAGGUCUUGAAACUUAAAGAAUUUGGCGGCAUUUUAGUCUAUUUAGAGGAAUCUGUUCCAUAAUCGAUAGUCCACGUUGAACCUUACUUGGUUUAUAAGGUAUGUAUACCGCCGUUUAUUGAAUAUUUUUUUAGAAGUUAUGUUCUUCUAAUCUAUUUUUAUCUUAUUUCAGGUCAAGGUGCAGCGUAUAAUUAAGGGGAAAUGGAUUACAAUACUUUAAGGUAGACGUAUUAUUGGGUUGAUAUAUUUGUAUGAAGGUGGAUUUAAUAGUAAUUUUUUGUAGAUUGUAGAUAUGAUUUGAGCUCUAAAAUGUGCACACAUCGCCCGUCGCUCUCGUUGAAAUUAUAAAGUGAGAUAAGUCGUAACAAAGUAGGUGUACCGGAAGGUGUAGCUAGGAUGAA